GCAAAAAUGACUGAGACAUGGGCUCCCCUGGUGGCACAGUGGUUAAGAAUCCACCUGCCAACGCAGGGGACACGGGUUUGAGCCCUGGUCCGGGAAGAUCCCACAUGCCGCGGAGCGGCUGGGCCUGUGCGCCACAACUACUGAGCCUGCGCUCUAGAGCCCGCAAGCCACAACUACUGAGCCCAUGUCCCACAGCUACUGAAGCCUGUGCGUCUAGAGCCCAUGCUCCGGAACAAGAGAAGCCACUGCAAUGAGAAGCCCGCGCACCGCAACAAAGAGUAGCCCCCGCUCGCCGCAACUAGAGAAAGCCCGCACGCAGCAACGAAGACCCAACGCAGCCAGAAACAGUAAAUAAAUAAAUAAAUUUAUUUAAAGAAAAAAUGACUGAGGCAGGUCUGAGACCAGAGCUGCCUGCUCAGCCUGCACCUCCCUGCCCCCACAUCACUGAACACACACGUCCAGGGCAACAGGGCCCCACCCCACUUCACAGAUGAGGUAACUGAGGCACAGGGGGAGGGGCCAGCUCAAGGUCCCGCCGUAAAGAUAUGGAAAAGCUGGGAUUCAAGCCCAGGUUGGGCCGGGCCUCCCGAGCUCGGCCCUCCACCCACCGAGCCCCCCUCUGCAUCUCAACGGCCCGGGUGGGCCUGCAGCAGGUGCUGGGCCAGCAGUGUCCCUUUGUGAGCCCGGGGUAUUGUCCCCUGGACAAAGGCCUCAAUUCCCACUAGCGGCCACCCACACGCUCACUUCUAAGGAUAAAGGAAUCCGCAGCCAGCCGCCCCCCAGCUCCAGAUGGCGGCCCCCGCCCGUCUGCUUCCCUCCUGACCCACUGACUCUGCGCCCACCCCCCCAUCAGGCCGGGCUGCUGCACUGGGGCGGAAGAAAAGAGGUGGCCCUCCAAGGCCUCAUCUUUGUGUCCUCAGCAUGGUGGCCGGCCCAGUGAGCUGCCCUACGCCUCCCUCCCCCCCAUCCAUCCCAGCCUUUUCAUCCUUCCCAGACAAGACACAAAGCCACAGAGGCGGCCCCUCCUCCGGCUCCAGCUGAGCUAGCUUUUCUGUCUUCUGGGCGUUGGAGCCCAGCCCCUGCCCAGCAGUGCUGGCCCCAGGCAGCUGCCCAGGUGUCUUAAAGGCCCAGCUUCUCCUCCGUGGCGCAGAGCAAGGGGCGGCAGGGCAGAGAAAUGGCUGAGACACGGGGCUUCAAGAGAAUCUAGUCACCGGGUGGAGGAUGGUUCCCCUCGAAGCAGGAUCAGGCCAUUGGACCACUCAGGGCUCGCCUGGUGCUGGACUCCCGCACGCCCAUGCCCUUUCUGCCAAGACGUUCUUGAGGCUGCAUCCAUCCAUAUGCUUGUUGGUCCGUUCACUUGUUCAUUCACCAUCUUACUGGGAGCCCUGGGCCUGCUGCUGGGCCAAACAACGUCAAGACAUCGUGCUUCCCUAGGAGGGCUCACGGGCUGGGCCAGGAGGCCAGUAAUCCGGAUCCUUUGGGCCCAUCCUCCCAGCAGGUCCUGAAGCACUGAGACAGGCGAGGUUGGUGACGGUGCAGAGUGCCCCCAGCUACCCCAAAGCAUUCAGCAGCCUGGGAGAGCUGACUCUGAGACAAGCCUGUCCUGCGUUUAAGCAGGCUUCCUUCCGGGCCCUCCACUCAGAGAUUCUCCAGUUGCCACAGGUUCCUGGUCAGGAUGGUGGAUUGAGGUGCUAUGGGAAGCUCUCUUUCUAUGUACAAACACACAGAAGUGCUGGAUAGAAUAUAACCAUUUAAAAUAAUCCAGUCAAGGUCAAAAACAAAAAGGUAGGGGCAGCCACGUGACGCAGUUCUGGCCAAGUUGAUGGAGGUACAAGUUCUGGUGGGAGAAGGUGGGGCAGCCUCUCCCUGAAUAGAAUGGCAAAGCUCACUAGAAGAAAAUCCUUCCCACCCCCAAUAUCACUGGUCCUUCUUAUGCCUGGACAGCAGAUAUGAGGCCUGGAGGUGCAGCAGCCAUCUUGUAACCAUGAGGCGGCAACAAAAAAGGUAAAGUGGAAAGACAGAAAGAACACAGGCUGUGGGGGCAGACAGACCUUCCUUUUCCACUUUCUGGCUGUGUGGCCUUGGGUACGUCACUUAACUUCUCGGAGCCUCACUUCCCACAACCUGUAAGAUGGGGAUAAAACCUCUCCCUUGAACAGUCCUUGUGAGGAUUAAAUACUGUGUUGAG